rnacentral:rRNA from 1 species
GNCCUUNAUACAUGCAAGUCGAACGAGAAAGUUCCUUCGGGAGCGAGUAAAGUGGCGGACGGGUGAGUAACGCGUAGGAAUCUACCUUUCAGUGGGGGAUAGCUCGGGGAAACUCGAAUUAAUACCGCAUACACCCUUCGGGGGAAAGGGGGCCUCUCCUUGGAAGCUCUCGCUGUUAGAUGAGCCUGCGUGAGAUUAGCUUGUUGGUAAGGUAAUGGCUUACCAAGGCUACGAUCUCUAGCUGGUCUGAGAGGACGAUCAGCCACACUGGGACUGAGACACGGCCCAGACUCCUACGGGAGGCAGCAGUAGGGAAUAUUGGACAAUGGGGGCAACCCUGAUCCAGGCAUGCCGCGUGUGUGAAGAAGGCCUUAGGGUUGUAAAGCACUUUAAGUGAGGAAGAAAAGAUUUAAAUUAAUACUUUAAUUCCCUGACAUUACUCACAGAAUAAGGACCGGCUAACUCCGUGCCAGCAGCCGCGGUAAUACGGAGGGUCCAAGCGUUAAUCGGAAUUACUGGGCGUAAAGCGCGCGUAGAUGGUUUAUUCAGUUGGGUGUGAAAUCCCUGGGCUCAACCUAGGAACUGCAUUCAAAACUUAUAAACUAGAGUACGAAAGAGGAGAGUAGAAUUCAUGGUGUAGCGGUGAAAUGCGUAGAGAUCAUGAGGAAUACCAGUGGCGAAGGCGACUCUCUGGUUCGAGACUGACAUUGAGGUGCGAAAGCGUGGGUAGCAAACAGGAUUAGAUACCCUGGUAGUCCACGCCGUAACGAUGAGAACUAGCCGUUGGAUCUUUAGAUUCNGUGGCGCAGCUAANGCAUUAAGUUCUCCGCCUGG